UCAGGUAUUAUCCCAAUCAAUGAUAUCGAUGCUUAUGUAUUAUUUGAUUCGGGUGCUACUUGCUCGUUUAUCUCUGAUGAAUUUUCUAAGAGGUUAGAAUUGCCUAGAGAAGAACUGAAUUUUCCCUUUGAACAUAGAGAUUGCGAAUAAAGAGAUAAUCCAUGUUAGAUUCGUAUACAAGAACUAUAGAGUGAACAUUAAGGAGAAG
rnacentral:lncRNA from 1 species